CCUACGGGAGGCAGCAGUGGGGAAUAUUGCACAAUGGGGGAAACCCUGAUGCAGCGACGCCGCGUGAGUGAAGAAGUAUUUCGGUAUGUAAAGCUCUAUCAGCAGGGAAGAAAAUGACGGUACCUGACUAAGAAGCCCCGGCUAACUACGUGCCAGCAGCCGCGGUAAUACGUAGGGGGCAAGCGUUAUCCGGAUUUACUGGGUGUAAAGGGAGCGCAGACGGAAGAGCAAGUCUGAUGUGAAAACCCGCGGCCCAACCCCGGGACUGCAUUGGAAACUGUUUAACU
rnacentral:rRNA from 1 species